UACGUAGGGUGCAAGCGUUGUCCGGAAUUAUUGGGCGUAAAGAGCUCGUAGGCGGUUUGUCGCGUCUGCUGUGAAAACCUAAGGCUCAACCUUGGGCUUGCAGUGGGUACGGGCAGACUAGAGUGCGGUAGGGGUGACUGGAAUUCCUGGUGUAGCGGUGAAAUGCGCAGAUAUCAGGAGGAACACCGGUGGCGAAGGCGGUUCUCUGGGCAUGACCUGA
rnacentral:rRNA from 1 species